CCCAACUCAGAGGCAUACAAACUUCAUUUAGCCAGAAUCCCUGAUUACUUCUGGCUUGCAGAAGAUGGCUUGAAAAUUCAGAGUUUUGGGUCUCAACUGUGGGAUGCAGCAUUAGCCAUACAAGCAAUCCUUUCAUGUGAUUUGAGUGAAGAUUAGGGAUCUACACUUCAGAAAGCACAUCACUUCGUGAAGGCUUCCCAGGUACGUGAAAAUCCAUCAGGUG